CCUACGGGAGUCUGCAGUGAGGAAUAUUGGUCAAUGGACGCAAGUCUGAACCAGCCAUGCCGCGUGCAGGACGACGGCUCUAUGAGUUGUAAACUGCUUUUGUACGAGGGUAAACGCAGAUACGCGUAUCUGUCUGAAAGUAUCGUACGAAUAAGGAUCGGCUAACUCCGUGCCAGCCGCCGCGGUAAUACGGAGGAUUCAAGCGUUAUCCGGAUUUAGUGGGUUUAAAGGGUGCGUAGGCGGUCGGAUAAGUUAGAGGUGAAAUCCCGAGGCUCAACUUCGGAAUUGCCUCUGAUACUGUUCGGCUAGAGAGUAGUUGCGGUAGGCGGAAUGUAUGGUGUAGCGGUGAAAUGCUUAGAGAUCAUACAGAACACCGAUUGCGAAGGCAGCUUACCAAGCUACUUCUGACGUUGAGGCACGAAAGCGUGGGGAGCAAACAGGAUUAGAUACCCCAGUAGUC
rnacentral:rRNA from 1 species